CCAUUCAAUAAAAAGAAAACGAUAAAAAGCAAAGAAUAAGAUAAUCUACUGCUGUGAAAGAGAGACAGAUACUAAACACCCAUUGUAAAAAAAACAAAUUUAAAACACCCAAAGUUAAACUGAAAUUGUCGUCGACUUUGUGACACCCCCAAAAUAGGUAUACAUCACCCAUUCUGAGUUGUCAAUACACGGUACAGAAACAACUACAACUUUAUUAUUACAACAGUAAAACUGUGAGUUUAAAUACAGAUAUUGCCAUCUAAACAAUAUCCACAUACAAAUAAAUCCUCAUCAUAAUUAUUGAUACAUUAUUUUA
rnacentral:lncRNA from 1 species